rnacentral:rRNA from 1 species
CCUACGGGAGGCAGCAGUAGGGAAUCUUCGUCAAUGGGCGCAAGCCUGAACGAGCAAUGCCGCGUGAACGAGGAAGGUCUUCGGAUCGUAAAGUUCUGUUGAAGGGGAAAAAGCGCGGAGAGAGGAAAUGGUCUCCGAUUGAUAUUACCCUUCGAGGAAGUCACGGCUAACUACGUGCCAGCAGCCGCGGUAAUACGUAGGUGGCGAGCGUUAUCCGGAAUGAUUGGGCGUAAAGGGUGCGUAGGCGGGCUGCUAAGUCUGGAGUGAAAGGUACCGGCUAAACCGGUACAGGCUCUGGAAACUGGCGGGCUAGAGAGCAGGAGAGGGAGGUGGAAAGCCAUGUGUAGCGGGAAAAUGCGGAGA